GGUUCAUGAAUCCACUGCCUCCGUCUCUCUUUCUCGCUCUCUCUCUCUCUCUCUCUCUCUCUCUCUCUCUCUCUCUCUCUCCAGUGUUUGUGUGGGCGUGGUUUCCCAAUCUCGGCCUGAUUGUCUGCGCCAGCUGGAACCACUUAUCUUCCCUUUAUAUGUUCUGUUACCAGUGUUUCUUGUUGUCAGAUCGUUGUUUCUUCUCUGAGGUUGUGUCGUGUGUCCGUGCUCUUCUCUUGUGUGGAUUAUCUGCUGUGCUCCUUCCUACUCAUCUGGACACACUCCCCUGGUUUUCUCAGCACGUUAUGAUCGGAAGAUGCGCCCGAGUUCCUGGGUCGGAUUCCUUCUGAGUACAGUCUGUCUGUCAUGUUGCUGCUGUGAACUACAUUCAUUAAAACCAUCGUUGCUUGCAUCUUGCAUCCGCCUCUGUGUUGUAACAGAACGAUCUGACCAGACCAUGGAUGCAGCGAGUUCAACGAGUCUGACCGAAUUCCUUUCCCGCAGUAUCACGAGAAUGGAUCAACAAGAGGAGAACAUCUCCAGCACAGGUCGGGCAGUACAAGCCCUUUCGACGCAGGUAUCCCAGCUGACCCAACAAUUGCAACAUCUGAGGGGUUCCGCUGCGCCACCUACACCGGCAGUUCAACCCGCCCCGCCAGAGCCGGAUUCCCAGCUAGAGCCACGGCUACCGACACCAGAGGGUUAUUCAGGCACGCAUUAACCCGCCGGUCCCGGUUACCCCGCCGCCACGACUUGUUGAUGGGGAAACCACCUUUUCUGUCAAUCGUAUUUUGGACUCUAGAAGGAGGGGACGCGGAUUCCAGUACCUGGUGGACUGGGAGGGUUACGGCCCGGAGGAGAGAAGUUGGGUACCUGCUAGGGACAUUCUGGAUCACUCCCUUAUCGAUGAUUUCAAUCGACAGGUAAAUUCGCCUGGGAACGCCAAGAGGCGUUCCUAGGGGGGUAUUGUCACGGUUCAUGAAUCCACUGCCUCCGUCUCUCUCUCUCUCUCUCGCUCUCUCUCUCUCUCUCUCUCUCUCUCCAGUGUUUGUGUGGGCGUGGUUUCCCAAUCUCGGCCUGAUUGUCUGCGCCAGCUGGAACCACUUAUCUUCCCUUUAUAUGUUCUGUUACCAGUGUUUCUUGUUGUCAGAUCGUUGUUUCUUCUCUGAGGUUGUGUCGUGUGUCCGUGCUCUUCUCUUGUGUGGAUUAUCUGCUGUGCUCCUUCCUACUCAUCUGGACACACUCCCCUGGUUUUCUCAGCACGUUAUGAUCGGAAGAUGCGCCCGAGUUCCUGGGUCGGAUUCCUUCUGAGUACAGUCUGUCUGUCAUGUUGCUGCUGUGAACUACAUUCAUUAAAACCAUCGUUGCUUGCAUUUUG